rnacentral:rRNA from 1 species
AUGCUUGCCCACGCGGGCGCGGGCUUGAGCUUCUCCGCCUACUCUUCUCCGCUGCCGGGGCCGGGCUACUCAUACUCCCCCACACUCUUCUCCCACCCCCACCCAGACCACUCCUCCACCUCUGUCUCCGCUGCUCCGGCGCAACCGCCGCCAGCACUGCCGCUCCUGCUGCAUCAACAACAUCAAGCCGCCGCUGCUGUUGCUGCACCCGACGACGCCGCCAACAUCUGCCACCACCUCGUGAUCGGAGACAUGGGGCAGCCAUCCCUGAUAUCAGAGUAUGACCUGGGAGCAGAAGGCGACCUGUUCAAGGCUCCGGAGCCCAUACUCGAGGAACCGCUGCUCGCCCUCGACCCGGUCGCCGCCGCCAUCUCGAUCAUGUCCGGCAGCGACAACGCCAUGAACAACACCGUCAAGGCCUCGGACAUGAGCCUGAGUGAGGCGCUGUACAAGUGCGAGAAGGAGCUCAUGGAGGAGUCGGCCAUCGAGGAGACGAUAUCCGAACUGCUGGACGUCAAGAUCCCCAUGCUGCAGGUCGAGGACGUCCUCGGGGAGCUCAGGGCCUCUGCCGAUGGAUGCUUGCUCCAGAAGAGCGUCAGCCUUAACUCGGCCGACUGGAUGAACGGGUCGGCGGUGACGCCCAACUUCUUCGACUUCCAAGGGCUUGACUUCGAAGCGGCGUUCGGGCUCCGGCGAGUCUACAGCGAGGGUGACAUUCACCUUUGUGACAUGAGGCUUGGUGCCAAUACCCCUGGAGCUGGGAUCGCGGCAAAUGUGCAGGCAUCUGGUGAGAGGCUUGUGACCAUCAGUGACCUGAAAAGGGAGCAAAGGAGACAGAAGCUCAACAGGUACAGGGAGAAGAAGAUCCAGAGGAACUUUGGCAGAAAGAUCAAGUAUGCUUGCAGGAAGGCUCUGGCAGACAGCCAGCCGAGGGUGCGAGGGAGGUUCGCCAAGAUGGACGAUGGCUACAUGCUCAAGCCAAGGAAGUAG